GUCUCUAUUAAAAAACGAUAGUAUUGGUCAUGUUAGUAUAUAAAAUAUGAAGAAUAUGAAGCUGGUCCAAAAUGUAUUUUUAUCCAUUAAAUUAGUCCCUUGUGAUUCGGGAGCUAAUUUGAAUGGUCUGCACAUUUGUUGGAUUUAUGUGGUGAUCUUUAUUUUUAAUAUUUAGGAACUAAUAUUAGUGAUUAGUGAUGCAAUAUAUUUCAGGGAUUAAUAUGGUUAUUUAUUUGUUUUGGAUUUUUGAUAUUGAGUUUGUUAUUUGUGAAUUGAUUAAAAGAAAUGGUCGCUAUUAUUAUUGUUAUUCCUUUUCUGAUUGAUGUAGUGUGAAUUUCCGUUCAUCACAGUUUGACGGUACAGGAGCAUUCUGGGAAUGAGAAAUCGUGUGUGUGGCAUGCUUCUGAUUUUGCAGAUGGAGAAUUGAAGGAUGAGCUGUUCUGUAUUAGGUUCCCCUCUGUUGAGAACUGCAAGGCCUUCAUGACAACUAUGCAAGAAGUGGCUGAAUCACAAGGAGAGGAGGAGGAAAACAAAGAUGCUUCAGCUGCUGCCGGUCUCCUCAAGAAACUAACUGUUGGCGACGGAGGACAAAGAGCCGCUGGAAAAGGCCACGGAUACCAAUGUGAAAGGUGAGCAGGAUGUAUAGAAGAGAAGCCAAGCCUGAGGAUCAUAAGAUGAAUCAGCUCCACCAGCAUAAAAUAUGAUGUGGCUGGUGAAUGAUUUAUUCUCUCAUAGGUUGCUGGCAUGUUUAUAAAAGAUUGGUAACCUAGAUUGGAACCUCAGGAUAUAGAAUGGCUGGCAUGAAGUGAUAUGAAGAUGUGAUGGUCUGUGUAUCUCUUGAGUCCUGUUUUUGUACUGGUUUUUGCAAGUAUGCUUGGAUGGUUUUGUGAUUGUGGGUUUUCAUUUUUCUCAUGUUUCCUUCAAUUGAGUUGUUUUUGUUCUUUCAAAAAAA